rnacentral:rRNA from 1 species
GACGAACCGUGCGAACGUUAUUCGGAAUCACUGGGCUUAAAGCGCGUGUAGGCGGGACGGCACGUCGGUCGCUGAAAUCCCCCGGCUCAACCGGGGAACGGGCGCCGAUACGACCGCCCUGGAGGGACGUAGGGGGACCUGGAACUUCCGGUGGAGCGGUGAAAUGCGUAGAGAUCGGAAAGAACACCAACGGCGAAAGCACUCUGCUGGGCCGACACUGACACUGAGAGACGAAAGCUAGGGGAGCGAAUGGG